rnacentral:rRNA from 1 species
GAUGAACGCUGGCGGCGUGCCUAAUACAUGCAAGUCGAGCGAACGGACGAGAAGCUUGCUUCUCUGAUGUUAGCGGCGGACGGGUGAGUAACACGUGGAUAACCUACCUAUAAGACUGGGAUAACUUCGGGAAACCGGAGCUAAUACCGGAUAAUAUUUUGAACCGCAUGGUUCAAAAGUGAAAGACGGUCUUGCUGUCACUUAUAGAUGGAUCCGCGCUGCAUUAGCUAGUUGGUAAGGUAACGGCUUACCAAGGCCACGAUGCAUAGCCGACCUGAGAGGGUGAUCGGCCACACUGGAACUGAGACACGGUCCAGACUCCUACGGGAGGCAGCAGUAGGGAAUCUUCCGCAAUGGGCGAAAGCCUGACGGAGCAACGCCGCGUGAGUGAUGAAGGUCUUCGGAUCGUAAAACUCUGUUAUUAGGGAAGAACAUAUGUGUAAGUAACUGUGCACAUCUUGACGGUACCUAAUCAGAAAGCCACGGCUAACUACGUG